rnacentral:lncRNA from 1 species
UUAAGGUCUAGGUCCAGGUCAAUCCGGACCUAACCCGACCCAUUGCCACCGUUAGCCUUGAUUGCCAUGUUUCUACAAGAUAAAUAAAUAUAUGCAACCUUGGAUGGAGAUUAGGACGUCUAAAAUAUAAAGGAACUUCAGGUUUGGUGUCGGGAGGCAUGGUAAUUGAAGCCGAGAGGAAGACGAAGUGUCCCUGAUGACAAAUGCAUGAGAGAGAGAGACAGACUAUGUGGCCUUUUCCUUUCGCCUCCUCACCAUCUCUGAUUUUCUUCAUUUUCUUUCUCUCUCUAGAAUCAUGAUUUAUGUUCUCACUGAGGCUGCCUUCCUCAACAAAAUCAACACCAUCCAUUAAAAGAAUGAGUUCCGCCUCUAAUGAUCACCCCAAAAUGUCAAGGCGUUUUUUAUCUAGUUUUCAUUGGAAGUUCAUUGCAAGUUUUCAGCUUUUUCUAUGAAAAAGAUUAGUUGCAGAGUGGAUAAGUAACAUGUAUUCUCUCUCUUUCAUUUGCAUGUCUCUAUGGGUUUCAAAAGGCAUAUUUUGAUCUUAAUUUUUUUAUUCUUUUUUUAAAAAUAGUGAAGUAAGAAGUGGUAACAUAUUUAGGAACAACCUGGAUGCUUUCUCCAGAUUUCAUCCGUACAAUUUGGGCUUUGGGUUUGGACAUUUUACAUGCUUAUUAUACUAGAGAGAGGGUGGAAGUUCAUUGUGUCCAUAAGAGAGACUUAUUUAUUAUUCAUUUUGGUCAUUCUAUUCAUAGUUCCUUUAUUUGUGAUUUGCAGUCCAUCCAUAUAUAGCUAUUUCCUUUAUAUUUUUGUUUUUUCAUUUUUUAUGGAGACCAUUUACUUUUUCUCCAUUGAGUGCCUCCAUGUUCUUAUGUAUAAUAUUAUAUUCAAAAUCAAGAAAAACUAUGUCGUAACAACUCUAACUUCUUUAUAUAGUUUGUUAUUUAAAAUGAAUUAUACAACCUAACCUUUGACUAAAGCUAAUAGGCUCGCAAGAAAUCUUUAUAUCUCAAUGUGUGUGGUUCCAAUGCACACCAAGUGUUUGGAAAAGUGCCUCAACAGGAUAUAGCUCAAGGUGGUGAGUUCAAAAACUUAUAUGAAUUAAGUCUUGAAAUAAUUUAUGUUAUCUAGGCAUCGAUGGGUAUAUCUAUAUGUGAACUUCAAAUACUUAGUAGGUUACAUGAAAUGAAACAUGCUUAUCAAUGACUAAUUCUUUCUUAGAAGGUUACAGGAAAUGAAACAUGCUUAUCAAUGACUAACUCUUUCUUUUGCUAAAACGCAAUUUCCAAAUCUUGGCGUAUGCAUGAAUGCAGACAAAAUCACAAGCUGUGCAUGCAUUUAUCCUCAUAUCUAAACCUACUUUUGAUGUGUCUUUAUUCUAGCUUACAUUGAUGAUUAAUGACCACAACAAUGUAUUUAUAGAAAUAAGAGAAAAUGGAGCAGAUGGGUUUGGUUCCUUGGGAGUGGAUGCAUUUAUCCUCAUAUCUAAACCUACUUUUGAUGUGUCUUUAUUUCUAGCUUACAUUGAUGAUUAAUGACCACAACAAUGUAUUUAUAGAAAUAAGAGAAAAUGGAGCAGAUGGGUUUGGUUCCUUGGGAGUGGAUGCAAGAGAAGACAAAAUGGAGAUAAUGGGUUGCGAAUAGUACAAGAUAUAAUACUAGCUUUUAAAGAACAAAGAAUAAUAAUGGUUUGAGGGCUUUGGAUUGUAUUUUAAGGACAGAGAAGUUUUAGAGGGCUUUUGAUUGUCUUUUAAGGACAAAGAAGUUUUAAGGGGAGAGAGGGUGAGCUUAAUAGGCCUUCACAUUUGGGAGGCAAACAAAGAGCUCAUAUCCAUAUUAGAGAGAGAGAGUGAGAGUUCAAAACUAUCUAUAAAAAGUAUCCCCUUCAUUACAAGUAACAAGAAAUGUGUUUUUCUAGCAGUAUGGCUUCCCUCUAAUUCUGUUGCAAUCAUAAAGGAAAUUAUUUACUGG